GUUUCAGCAGCCGCGGUAAUACGUAGGGGGCAAGCGUUGUCCGGAUUUAUUGGGCGUAAAGAGCGUGUAGGCGGCCAAGCAGGUCCGCUGUGAAAACUCGAGGCUCAACCUCGAGAGGUCGGUGGAAACCGUUUGGCUAGAGUCCGGAAGAGGAGAGUGGAAUUCCCGGUGUAGCGGUGAAAUGCGCAGAUAUCGGGAAGAACACCCGUGGCGAAGGCGGCUCUCUGGGACGGUACUGACGCUGAGACGCGAAAGCGUGGGGAGCGAACAGGAUUAGAAACCCCUGUAGUCC
rnacentral:rRNA from 1 species